AUUGAACGCUGGCGGCAGGCCUAACACAUGCAAGUCGAACGAGCGGCGGACGGGUGAGUAAUGUAUGGGGAUCUGCCUGAUGGAGGGGGAUAACUACUGGAAACGGUGGCUAAUACCGCAUACUAUCGGAUGUGCCCAGAUGGGAUUAGCUUGUUGGUGGGGUAACGGCUCACCUAGGCGACGAUCCCUAGCUGGUCUGAGAGGAUGAGCAGCCACACUGGGACUGAGACACGGCCCAGACUCCUACGGGAGGCAGCAGUGGGGAAUAGUGCACAAUGGGCGCAAGCCUGAUGCAGCCAUGCCGCGUGUAUGAAGAAGGCCUUAGGGUUGUAAAGUACUUUCAGCGGGGAGGCGUUACCCGCAGAAGAAGCACCGGCUAACUCCGUGCCAGCAGCCGCGGUAAUUC
rnacentral:rRNA from 1 species